UAGGGAAUCUUCGGCAAUGGACGAAAGUCUGACCGAGCAACGCCGCGCGAGUGAAGAAGGUUUUCGGAUCGUAAAACUCUGUUGUUAGAGAAGAACAAGGACGUUAGUAACUGAACGUCCCUUGACGGUAUCUAACCAGAAAGCCACGGCUAACUACGUGCCAGCAGCCGCGGUAAUACGUAGGUGGCAAGCGUUGUCCGGGUUUAUUGGGCGUAAAGCGAGCGCAGGCGGUUUCUUAAGUCUGAUGUGAAAGCCCCCGGCUCAACCGUGGAGGGUCAUUAGAAACUGGGGGAAUUGAGUGCAGAAGAGGAGAGUGGAAUUCCAUGUGUAACGGUGAAAUGCGUAGAUAUAUGGAGGAACACCAGUGGCGAAAACGGCACUCUGGUCUGUAUCUGACGCUGAGGCUCGAAAGCGUGGGGAGCAAACAGG
rnacentral:rRNA from 1 species